rnacentral:rRNA from 1 species
AUUGAACGCUGGCGGCAGGCCUAACACAUGCAAGUCGAGCGGAGCGGCCGACGGGUGAGUAAUGCCUAUGAAUCUGCCUGGUAGUGGGCGAUAACUUCCGGAAACGGGCGCUAAUACCGCAUACUAUCAGAUGAGCCUAGGUCGGUUUAGCUAGUUGGUGGGGUAAAGGCGUACCCAGGCGACGAUCCGUAACUGGUCUGAGAGGAUGAUCAGGCACACUGGAACUGAGACACGGUCCAGACUCCUACGGGAGGCAGCAGUGGGGAAUAUGGGAAAAUGGGCGAAAGCCUGAUACAGCCAUGCCGGGUGUGUGAAGAAGGUCUUCGGGUUGUAAAGCACUUUAAGUUGGGAGGCGUUACCAACAGAAGAAGCACCGGCUAACUUCGUGCCAGCAGCCGCGGUAAUAC